rnacentral:rRNA from 1 species
GUUCUAACGUUGACCCGUGAUCCGGGUUGCGGACAGUGUCUGGUGGGUAGUUUGACUGGGGCGGUCUCCUCCUAAAGAGUAACGGAGGAGCACGAAGGUUGGCUAAUCCUGGUCGGACAUCAGGAGGUUAGUGCAAUGGCAUAAGCCAGCUUGACUGCGAGCGUGACGGCGCGAGCAGGUGCGAAAGCAGGUCAUAGUGAUCCGGUGGUUCUGAAUGGAAGGGCCAUCGCUCAACGGAUAAAAGGUACUCCGGGGAUAACAGGCUGAUACCGCCCAAGAGUUCAUAUCGACGGCGGUGUUUGGCACCUCGAUGUCGGCUCAUCACAUCCUGGGGCUGAAGUAGGUCCCAAGGGUAUGGCUGUUCGCCAUUUAAAGUGGUACGCGAGCUGGGUUUAGAACGUCGUGAGACAGUUCGGUCCCUAUCUGCCGUGGGCGCUGGAGAAUUGAGGGGGGCUGCUCCUAGUACGAGAGGACCGGAGUGGACGCAUCAC